UACGUAGGGUGCAAGCGUUAUCCGGAAUUAUUGGGCGUAAAGAGCUCGUAGGCGGUUUUGUCGCGUCUGCUGUGAAAACCGGAGGCUCAACCUCCGGCCUGCAGUGGGUACGGGCAAACUAGAGUGCGGUAGGGGAGAUUGGAAUUCCUGGUGUAGCGGUGAAAUGCGCAGAUAUCUGGAGGAACACCGGUGGCGAAGGCGGCAUCCUGGACCGGUAUUGACGCUGAGGCGCGAAAGCCAGGGGAGCAAAGCGGG
rnacentral:rRNA from 1 species